rnacentral:ribozyme from 1 species
UACACACGAGUGCGAUGGAGAGAGAGAGAGAGAAGAACGAGGAAGAGAUGUCUCGACCCCUCGUUCUUCUCACACUUUUACUUUCCUCCACUCCAUUGUGAUUCUCAUUUUUUUGUUUUCUUUUUUGUUUUGAAGUAAAACAAUUUUGAAGGAAAAAAUGGACGG